AACGAACGCUGGCGGCAUGCCUAACACAUGCAAGUCGAACGAGACCUUCGGGUCUAGUGGCGCACGGGUGCGUAACGCGUGGGAACCUGCCCUUAGGUUCGGAAUAACUCCCCGAAAGGGGUGCUAAUACCGGAUAAUGUCUUCGGACCAAAGAUUUAUCGCCUUUGGAUGGGCCCGCGUUGGAUUAGCUAGUUGGUAGGGUAAAAGCCUACCAAGGCGACGAUCCAUAGCUGGUCUGAGAGGAUGAUCAGGCACACUGGGACUGAGACACGGCCCAGACUCCUACGGGAGGCAGCAGUGGGGAAUAUUGGACAAUGGGCGAAAGCCUGAUCCAGCAAUGCCGCGUGAGUGAUGAAGGCCUUAGGGUUGUAAAGCUCUUUUACCCGGGAUGAUAAUGACAGUACCGGGAGAAUAAGCGCCGGCUAACUCCGUG
rnacentral:rRNA from 1 species